GUGGUGAUGAUGGCGAUACCUUGCAGGAUCCCCCAGGGAGAAGUGCAGACAAUACAAUAAUUAUCGUGGGUCCCUCUUAGCCGCUGCGAAUAUGACCGGGCGAACGAGGCCAAUUGAGAAGUUUGCCAAAGCUACCGCCCAGUGCUCUGCUCAGGCCUCCGCGUACGGCAAAUGUGUCUUCGCUGAUUAUAAUGCGAUCCGAAAGGAUAUGUGCGCAAAGGAGUUUAUGAAGCUAAAGGAAUGCUAUCUGGCAGCGGCUAAGAAGCCAUGAUAACGGGCAACUGGUUUGUAAGAUGGAAUGGCAUACCGUUACUUUAAUAUGAAAGAACUCGCAGAAAUAUGGCAAUAUGGCAUCCCGGUUUAUUCUGGUUUACAUGUAGAAUAGCGGAAUCAAUUAGUUUUAGUAGGGAAAAAAAUCAUCCAUAUCUACGCAGUAGCAAGCACCCUGACGACCCUUUCAACUUCACAAUAACCUGAUAAACCACAGAAUCCAGCUUCCAUGAUGAAAACCCUCUUAGUCUUCUUUUUGCUUCAAAUAUUUCUAACUACAACUUCACCAGCCGAAGCAAGAAGGUCGCUUUUUGUACCUCCUGCUCUUCUUCUAAAAUGAUCCCCUCUUCCUCGCCUUCGGGUGCCCUCCCUUCGACCUCUGUGACUAUAUGUUGGUCGAUCGGUCUACGCAGCGCUUUUUCAAUCGCCUUCGACUGCGUCUGGAAAACGCGCUCGAUGCCGACAUUGUCAGGGUCAGAGAGAACCCGAUACUCCAUCCCCACGUCGUCAGUUGGAACCAACCCCGCCUUUUUUCGCAGCCGCUGGACUCGGUUCACGAUUUCCCUUGCUAGCCCUUCCUCAGCUAACUCAGGGUAUAAAACUGCGUCCAGGAUGAUAAGUACAUCAUCAUCUGUAUUCGUUUCAAAGUCCUUGGAAGAUGCGUCGUCUUUCAAGCCGCGCCUGAUUACCAGAUCCCCGUCGACAAGCUCAAUGCCAUCAACCACCAUCUUCUUGUCAGUGACGAAUCGCUUAACAUCGUUACUUGAGAGCGAUGGUAGCGCUUUCUUAACCCUUUGAGCAUCUUUCUUCAAUUUCUUGCCUAGAGUGGGCCAAUCUGCUGUGACACUGUACUGGACAUUGUACUUAUCCUCAUCGGAUGAGAGAACCAGAUCCCGGAUAUUAAGCUCUUCCAGAAUGUAGCUCUCUAGGGAUCUCACAUCAUCGAGAUAUUGUUUUUCCUGGUGGAUCACAACGAGCGUCUUCAGGGGUGACUUGAGGCCAAUGCUUCUGCGUUCACGUGCAAUGCGACCAAGCUCAAUCACCUUCUGCAUCCGACCGACCUGUCUCUCAAUGACAUCAUCAAAAAGUUCUUCACGAACCUCAGGGAAAGCGAGGAAAUGGACGCUGCGGCUAUCCUCGGCUUGAAGGGAUUUUGGUAUAUGAGGAAGGAGUCGAAGGUAUAUAUUAUCGGUGAUGAAAGGAGUGAAAGGUGCGAGGCCGCGGACUAGGGUAUAAAGGACCUCGAAAAGGGUAUUUAACGCGUGUAAAGUGUCGUCCAACCCAAGCUCCCCCUUCAGCCUCCUACGGUUGAACCGAAUGUACCAGUUGGUGGUGUUAUCGAUCAAUCCUAGUAGUCUCGGAACAACAGUAUAAAGCCGGUACCCAGCCAUUUCUUGAUUGACAAAUUUGAGUAGACUCUGACAGCUUGCCAGAAUCCAGCGAUCCAUGACAUUCGUGUUGGUUGCUUCCGCCGCUGGAUCGAACACAUACUCCACGUCCUCGAUCUUUUUCAGCAGCGCAACCUGAGCUUCGAAGAAUUUGUAACUAUUCCACAAGGGGAGCAGAACUUUGGCGACAAUUUCUUUCACGCCUGAUUCCUUGAAUCUUAAGGGCUCUGCGCGAACGACUGGAGAGUUAAUGAGGUAAAGCCGAAGCGGGUCAGACCCAUAGCGAUCCAUAAUGAGAGUUGGGUCUGGGUAAUUUUUCAAUCGCUUUGACAUUUUCUUGCCGUCUUCAGCGAGUACAAUUCCAUUCACAACACAGUUCUUGAAUGGCAGCUUUCCGUACAGGUGCGUGCUAAUGACAGCGAGUGUAUAAAACCAACCUCGGGUCUGGUCAAGGCCUUCUGCGAUGAAAUCACCCGGGAACGACUUCUCAAAAUGUUCUUUGUUCUCAAAGGGAUAAUGCUGGGAAGCAUAGGGCAUACUUCCGGAUUCAAACCAACAAUCAAGAACUUCCUCGACCCUUCGUAAUACACCCUUCCCUUGCUUGCUUGGGAUAGUGAUGUGGUCAAUCUUAUCGCGAUGGAGGUCCGUGAGUUCACCAGUAUAUCCACUGAGCUGUCUGAGCUCCUCAACGCUGCCAAUAGCUAUAAUUUCUUUGUAAUCCUCACUGGCCCACAAUGGGAUCGGAGUUCCCCAGUAUCGAUUUCUCGAAAUGUUCCAAUCCCUUGCAUUCGCAAUCCAACUUGCGAAUCGUUUGUCUUUGACAAAGGAAGGGACCCAAUAAGACUCCUCUAUCCCUUGAAGCAUUUGGGGAAUAAUGGGACCUAUUUUGACGAACCACGAAGGCACAGCUCUAUAGAUCAAAGGAGUGUCAGAUCUCCAGC
rnacentral:sRNA from 2 species